UUAAGUUAUUAAGGGCGCACGGUGGAUGCCUUGGCACUAGAAGCCGAUGAAGGACGUUACUAACGACGAUAUGCUUUGGGGAGCUGUAAGUAAGCUUUGAUCCAGAGAUUUCCGAAUGGGGAAACCCAGCAUGAGUUAUGUCAUGUUAUCGAUAUGUGAAUACAUAGCAUAUCAGAAGGCACACCCGGAGAACUGAAACAUCUUAGUACCCGGAGGAAGAGAAAGAAAAUUCGAUUCCCUUAGUAGCGGCGAGCGAAACGGGAAGAGCCCAAACCAACAAGCUUGCUUGUUGGGGUUGUAGGACACUCUAUACGGAGUUACAAAGGACGACAUUAGACGAAUCAUCUGGAAAGAUGAAUCAAAGAAGGUAAUAAUCCUGUAGUCGAAAAUGUUGUCUCUCUUGAGUGGAUCCUGAGUACGACGGAGCACGUGAAAUUCCGUCGGAAUCUGGGAGGACCAUCUCCUAAGGCUAAAUACUCUCUAGUGACCGAUAGUGAACCAGUACCGUGAGGGAAAGGUGAAAAGCACCCCGGAAGGGGAGUGAAAUAGAACCUGAAACCGUGUGCUUACAAGUAGUCAGAGCCCGUUAAUGGGUGAUGGCGUGCCUUUUGUAGAAUGAACCGGCGAGUUACGAUUUGAUGCAAGGUUAAGCAGUAAAUGUGGAGCCGUAGCGAAAGCGAGUCUGAAUAGGGCGUUUAGUAUUUGGUCGUAGACCCGAAACCAGGUGAUCUACCCUUGGUCCGGUUGAAGUUCAGGUUACACUGAAUGGAGGACCGAACCGACUUACGUUGAAAAGUGAAAGGAUGAACUGAGGGUAGCGGAGAAAUUCCAAUCGAACCUGGAGAUAGCUGGUUCUCUCCGAAAUAGCUUUAGGGCUAGCCUCAAGUGAUGAUUAUUGGAGGUAGAGCACUGUUUGGACGAGGGGCCCCUCUCGGGUUACCGAAUUCAGACAAACUCCGAAUGCCAAUUAAUUUAACUUGGGAGUCAGAACAUGGGUGAUAAGGUCCGUGUUCGAAAGGGAAACAGCCCAGACCACCAGCUAAGGUCCCAAAAUAUAUGUUAAGUGGAAAAGGAUGUGGCGUUGCCCAGACAACUAGGAUGUUGGCUUAGAAGCAGCCAUCAUUUAAAGAGUGCGUAAUAGCUCACUAGUCGAGUGACACUGCGCCGAAAAUGUACCGGGGCUAAACAUAUUACCGAAGCUGUGGAUUGUCCUUUGGACAAUGGUAGGAGAGCGUUCUAAGGGCGUUGAAGCAUGAUCGUAAGGACAUGUGGAGCGCUUAGAAGUGAGAAUGCCGGUGUGAGAAGCGAAAGACGGGUGAGAAUCCCGUCCACCGAUUGACUAAGGUUUCCAGAGGAAGGCUCGUCCGCUCUGGGUUAGUCGGGUCCUAAGCUGAGGCCGACAGGCGUAGGCGAUGGAUAAAAGGUUGAUAUUCCUGUACCACCUAUAAUCGUUUUAAUCGAUGGGGGGACGCAGUAGGAUAGGCGAAGCGUGCGAUUGGAUUGCACGUCUAAGCAGUAAGGCUGAGUAUUAGGCAAAUCCGGUACUCGUUAAGGCUGAGCUGUGAUGGGGAGAAGACAUUGUGUCUUCGAGUCGUUGAUUUCACACUGCCGAGAAAAGCCUCUAGAUAGAAAAUAGGUGCCCGUACCGCAAACCGACACAGGUAGUCAAGAUGAGAAUUCUAAGGUGAGCGAGCGAACUCUCGUUAAGGAACUCGGCAAAAUGACCCCGUAACUUCGGGAGAAGGGGUGCUCUUUAGGGUUAACGCCCAGAAGAGCCGCAGUGAAUAGGCCCAAGCGACUGUUUAUCAAAAACACAGGUCUCUGCUAAACCGUAAGGUGAUGUAUAGGGGCUGACGCCUGCCCGGUGCUGGAAGGUUAAGAGGAGUGGUUAGCUUCUGCGAAGCUACGAAUCGAAGCCCCAGUAAACGGCGGCCGUAACUAUAACGGUCCUAAGGUAGCGAAAUUCCUUGUCGGGUAAGUUCCGACCCGCACGAAAGGCGUAACGAUUUGGGCACUGUCUCAACGAGAGACUCGGUGAAAUCAUAGUACCUGUGAAGAUGCAGGUUACCCGCGACAGGACGGAAAGACCCCGUGGAGCUUUACUGUAGCCUGAUAUUGAAAUUCGGCACAGCUUGUACAGGAUAGGUAGGAGCCUUUGAAACGUGAGCGCUAGCUUACGUGGAGGCGCUGGUGGGAUACUACCCUAGCUGUGUUGGCUUUCUAACCCGCACCACUUAUCGUGGUGGGAGACAGUGUCAGGCGGGCAGUUUGACUGGGGCGGUCGCCUCCUAAAAGGUAACGGAGGCGCUCAAAGGUUCCCUCAGAAUGGUUGGAAAUCAUUCAUAGAGUGUAAAGGCAUAAGGGAGCUUGACUGCGAGACCUACAAGUCGAGCAGGGUCGAAAGACGGACUUAGUGAUCCGGUGGUUCCGCAUGGAAGGGCCAUCGCUCAACGGAUAAAAGCUACCCCGGGGAUAACAGGCUUAUCUCCCCCAAGAGUUCACAUCGACGGGGAGGUUUGGCACCUCGAUGUCGGCUCAUCGCAUCCUGGGGCUGUAGUCGGUCCCAAGGGUUGGGCUGUUCGCCCAUUAAAGCGGUACGCGAGCUGGGUUCAGAACGUCGUGAGACAGUUCGGUCCCUAUCCGUCGUGGGCGUAGGAAAUUUGAGAGGAGCGGUCCUUAGGACGAGAGGACCGGGAUGGACAUACCUCUGGUGUACCAGUUGUCGUGCCAACGGCAUAGCUGGGUAGCUAUGUGUGGACGGGAUAAGUGCUGAAAGCAUCUAAGCAUGAAGCCCCCCUCAAGAUGAGAUUUCCCAACUUCGGUUAUAAGAUCCCUCAAAGAUGAUGAGGUUAAUAGGUUCGAGGUGGAAGCAUGGUGACAUGUGGAGCUGACGAAUACUAAUCGAUCGAAGACUUAAUCAA
rnacentral:rRNA from 1 species